GCGCCGAGGGUAGCAAUCGGGCGCGCGGGAGGGGCGGGGCGCAGGGUGGCGGCGGCUGUGGCCUCGCCUCGCCUCAUGGCGCAGCAGUGCCGUGUGGCGCCGCUCUCCCGUCGGCCGCGGGCUGAGCGAACACGCAGGCGGCUGUCAGCGGCUGUCGUGCGGCCGCCACGCUGGUGCCCAGCUCUCCUCAGCCGCCGGUGGCCGCGGCAGCCUUCCCGCGCUUGGGCCGCCCCGGCCGCGCGGGGGAGCUGCUUCUCGCUGGUGCCGCGGCCGCCCUGCCCCAGUCCGGGUGCCGCGGCCGCGCUCUGCGGGCCCCGCACCGAGCAGGGGCCCCUCGCCGCCCGGCAGCGUGCGCCGCGGCCCUCCGGCUGGGGCUGCCGCUUCCCUGCCGCGGUGCCCAGGCUCGUAAGCCGCGGGCAGUGUAGUUUCUCCAGAGGGGUGGUCGCAGCUGCAGCAGCGGUGACGCUCUGAGGAGAAAGCGGGGAAAUCACCUCUUUUUGAGAGGAGCUGGCGCAGCCGCUGCGCAGGGAGGCCGCCUCGGGCCGGGCCGGGCCUGCGGCUUCCAGGCCGAGUUUCCCCGAGGACACAGUGCGGAGCCUGUGCGCUCUGCAGGGCGAGCUGCUCCUAGACUGGGGAAAGAGGGUUACCCUGGUACGUCCGUUUUCCUCUGUCCUCGUAGCUUACUGCCAUUCUCAUGCCCACUGAGUUGAGUUUGUUUGCACUGCACUGAUGCCUCCCGAAUUUACCCAAAAAAGCCCUCGAUUAUGCUGUCCACGUGUGCGAUCUUGACUGAUAUUUCCACAAGCUCCGAUCAGUCAUGACUCCGCAAGAAGUAACUUACCAUGCUACAGCCGCUUAUUCCAAGUUCGAGUCAGAGCUGGCCAUCGGGACUGCAGGAAAAAGAACGACGCGACGCUGCUUCCUCCACCUCAGUGGCGAGCCGCGGCCCCUCUGGAGCACAGCGGCGGGGAAAGCCGACAGCGGCUUACAGAAGAGAAUCUGCUUCAGAUGAUGUGGAACAGAGGACUCCUGUAAAGCUCUUGGCUUGGAAUCCUUCAGGAUAUAUGGGUUGCUCAAAUAUGACUUAAAGUUCUGCCUGUCUUCUAGAAGAGAGGGUUGCCAGAUUUGAAGAGGUGUUGCUGCUGAGCACAGGAAAGCAAAUCUCCUGAUGAAGAAGCAGUUUACAGAGCCUUCAAAUCCGAAAAAACUCUUCGUGAAGACCUAGAGACUCCUGAGACAAUGCCGGAUGAAAUGGAGGAGAUCUGCCUUGUGGUACUGUACAGCACAUGGAUUUUCAUUCUCAGUCUGCUGUAGGCUUCCUGUUUGAUCUUGAACUCCCAUUUCCCCACAAAGGUAAUCACUUCUCCAGAAGGAUAUCAGAAAGGUAUGAUAAUUUGCUUAUAAGGCUUUUCACAGUCUUGGGUGGGAGGUAUAAGGAAAAUGUGUUGUCUGUUUUGUAACAAAAGUAACCAUUAUUCACAGUCUUACAAAAUUUGA